UUGAACGCUGGCGGCAGGCCUAACACAUGCAAGUCGAGCGGUAGCAGGCCUUCGGGCGCUGACGAGCGGCGGACGGGUGAGGAACACGUAGGAAUCUGCCUUGUAGUGGGGGAUAGCCCAGAGAAAUUUGGAGUAAUACCGCAUAUACCCUGAGGGGGAAAGUGGGGGACCGCAAGGCCUCACGCUAUGAGAGGAGCCUGCGUCGGAUUAGCUAGUUGGUGGGGUAAAGGCUCACCAAGGCGACGAUCCGUAGCUGGUCUGAGAGGAUGAUCAGCCACACUGGGACUGAGACACGGCCCAGACUCCUACGGGAGGCAGCAGUGGGGAAUAUUGGACAAUGGGCGAAAGCCUGAUCCAGCCAUGCCGCGUGUGUGAAGAAGGCCUUCGGGUUGUAAAGCACUUUAAGUUGGGAGGAAAAGCGGAGCGUGAAUAGCGCUUUGCCGUGACGUUACCGACAGAAUAAGCACCGGCAAACUCCGU
rnacentral:rRNA from 1 species